GAUGAACGCUAGCGGCAGGCUUAAUACAUGCAAGUCGUGGGGUAGAUUUAACUUCGGUUAGAUUGAGACCGGCAAACGGGUGCGGAACACGUACACAACCUUCCUUUUAGAGGGGGAUAGCCCAGGGAAACUUGGAUUAAUACCCCGUAAUAUGUUAGAGAGGCAUCUUUUUGACAUUAAAGCAGCGAUGCGCUAUAAGACGGGUGUGCGUAUGAUUAGGUAGUUGGCGGGGUAAAGGCCCACCAAGCCGAUGAUCAUUAACUGGUGUGAGAGCACGACCAGUCACACGGGCACUGAGACACGGGCCCGACUCCUACGGGAGGCAGCAGUAAGGAAUAUUGGUCAAUGGAGGCAACUCUGAACCAGCCAUGCCGCGUGGAGGAUGAAGGUCCUCUGGAUUGUAAACUUCUUUUAUAUGGGACGAAAAAGGGGAAAUCUUUCUCAACCGACGGUACCAUAUGAAUAAGCACCGGCUAACUCCGUGCCAGCAGCCGCGGUAAUACGGAGGGUGCAAGCGUUAUCCGGAUUCACUGGGUUUAAAGGGAGCGCAGGUGGGCUGUUAAGUCAGUGGUGAAAUCUCCGGGCUCAACCCGGAAACUGCCGUUGAUACUAAUGGUCUUGAAUAUUGUGGAGGUUAGCGGAAUAUGUCAUGUAGCGGUGAAAUGCUUAGAUAUGACAUAGAACACCAAUUGCGAAAGGCAGCUGGCUACGCAUAUAUUGACACUGAGGCUCGAAAGCGUGGGGAUCAAACAGGAUUAGAUACCCUGGUAGUCCACGCCCUAAACUAUGGAUACUCGACGUGCGCGAUACACAGUGCGCGUCUGAGCGAAAGCAUUAAGUAUCCCACCUGGGAAGUACGACCGCAAGGUUGAAACUCAAAGGAAUUGGCGGGGGUCCGCACAAGCGGUGGAGCAUGUGGUUUAAUUCGAUGAUACGCGAGGAACCUUACCUGGGCUAGAAUGCGAGUGACCGUUGGUGAAAGCCAAUUUUCUAGCAAUAGACACAAAGCAAGGUGCUGCAUGGCUGUCGUCAGCUCGUGCCAUGAGGUGUUGGGUUAAGUCCCGCAACGAGCGCAACCCCCAUCACUAGUUGCCAUCAGGUAACGCUGGGAACUCUAGUGAAACUGCCGUCGUAAGACGUGAGGAAGGAGGGGAUGAUGUCAAGUCAUCAUGGCCUUUAUGCCCAGGGCUACACACGUGCUACAAUGGGUAGGACAAAGAGUUGCGACACAGCGAUGUGAAGCUAAUCUCAAAAACCUACUCUCAGUUCGGAUCGCAGUCUGCAACUCGACUGCGUGAAGCUGGAAUCGCUAGUAAUCGUAUAUCAGCAAUGAUACGGUGAAUACGUUCCCGGACCUUGCACUCACCGC
rnacentral:rRNA from 1 species